GUGCUCACUUCGGCAGCACAUAUACUAAAAUUGGAACGAUACAGAGAAGGUUAGCAUGGCCCCUGCACAAGGAUGACAGAGGCACCUCCAUCCAAUCCUCCACCUUC